GGGACUGUGGCUCAGUGGCAGAGCGCUUGCCUAGCAUGUGUGAGGCCCUGGGUUCGAUUCUCAGCACCACCU
rnacentral:tRNA from 1 species